AGAAUCAACGCUGGCGGCGUGCCUAACACAUGCAAGUCGAACGAGAAAGUGGAGCAAUCCAUGAGUAAAGUGGCGACCGGGUGAGUAACACGUGACUAACCUACCUUCGAGUGGGGGAUAACCUCGGGAAACCGAGGCUAAUACCGCAUAACAUCGCAAGAUCAAAGCAGCAAUGCGCUGGAAGAGGGGGUCGCGGCUGAUUAGCUAGUUGGCGGGGUAAUGGCCCACCAAGGCGAAGAUCGGUAGCCGGCCUGAGAGGGCGCACGGCCACACUGGAACUGAAACACGGUCCAGACUCCUACGGGAGGCAGCAGUGGGGAAUUUUGCGCAAUGGGGGAAACCCUGACGCAGCAACGCCGCGUGGAGGAUGAAGCCCCUUGGGUGUAAACUCCUUUCGACCAAGACGAUAAUGACGGUACUGGUGGAAGAAGCACCGGCUAACUCUGUGCCAGCAGCCGC
rnacentral:rRNA from 1 species